GACGAACGCUGGCGGCGUGCUUAACACAUGCAAGUCGAACGGAAAGGCCCUGCUUUUGUGGGGUGCUCGAGUGGCGAACGGGUGAGUAACACGUGAGUAACCUGCCCUUGACUUUGGGAUAACUUCAGGAAACUGGGGCUAAUACCGGAUAGGAGCUCCUGCUGCAUGGUGGGGGUUGGAAAGUUUCGGCGGUUGGGGAUGGACUCGCGGCUUAUCAGCUUGUUUGUGGGGUAGUGGCUUACCAAGGCUUUGACGGGUAGCCGGCCUGAGAGGGUGAACGGCCACAUUGGGACUGAGAUACGGCCCAGACUCCUACGGGAGGCAGCAGUGGGGAAUAUUGCACAAUGGGCGGAAGCCUGAUGCAGCAACGCCGCGUGCGGGAUGACGGCCUUCGGGUUGUAAACCGCUUUCGCCUGUGACGAAGCGUGAGUGACGGUAAUGGGUAAAGAAGCACCGGCUAACUACGUG
rnacentral:rRNA from 1 species